GAAGAAAGGAUUCAUGUUGCCAUGAAGCUAACACACGACGCAAAGCAAACACAUACGAUGCUGGCGAAAGGGAAUCCGGUUACCCAUUCCGGAGCCUGUUGAGUACCCGUUCUGCGCUGGCGUAGGCAUUCGCACCGUCGUAUGUGUUUGCUUUGCGUCGUGUGUUAGCUUCAUGGCAACAUGAAUCCUUUCUUCGAGAAGCCAACGAGGGGCAUCGGAAGAGUUUUCUUUUCUGUUUUACAGCCACCACCGACCAUGGAAGUCACUCACAGAGAGAUAUGGUUGGACGCGCUGGUAGAGCACGGCCGUCGCCACUGCCGUGUCGAUGCACUCUUCUUGGACCAUGAAAAUCGAAGACUGGGGCACACUCCAUUUGUUGAUGCGUUAGUAACGUUUUACAACCCCGUUUGUAAAUAUGCACUCUCAACAGCUUGUACCGAAUCCGCAGCAGGUCUCCAAGGUGCAGAGCCUCU
rnacentral:rRNA from 1 species